AUUGAACGCUGGCGGCAGGCCUAACACAUGCAAGUCGAACGAGUGGCGGACGGGUGAGUAAUGUCUGGGAAACUGCCUGAUGGAGGGGGAUAACUACUGGAAACGGUAGCUAAUACCGCAUACCAUCGGAUGUGCCCAGAUGGGAUUAGCUAGUAGGUGGGGUAAAGGCUCACCAAGGCGACGAUCCCUAGCUGGUCUGAGAGGAUGACCAGCCACACUGGAACUGAGACACGGUCCAGACUCCUACGGGAGGCAGCAGUGGGGAAUAUUGGACAAUGGGCGAAAGCCUGAUGCAGCCAUGCCGCGUGUAUGAAGAAGGUCUUCGGGUUGUAAAGCACUUUCAGCAGGGAAGCGGUACCCGCAGAAGAAGCACCGGCUAACUCCGUGCCAGCAGCCGCGGUAAUAC
rnacentral:rRNA from 1 species